rnacentral:tRNA from 1 species
GUGGUUGUGACUCAGUGGUAGAGUGCUUGCCUAGCAUGUGUGAGGCACUGGGUUUGAUCCUCAGCACCACA